UUAAAUUAAUUUUAAAAAUUUAAAAGUUAAAUUCAAAAAUCUAAAUUAAAAAACUUAUUGAUAUUUUAUAUUAAAAUGAAUAAAUUGUGAAAUUAUUAGAGCAAGUUUUAUGAAUAAUCAAUAAUUAUAAUUCAUUUGUAUUUGUAUUUUUUAUUUUGAAUAUAAUAUAUAUGACUGUUUAAAAAUAACAAAAAAUUAAUUUAAUAAAUGAAAUUAUUUAAAGUGUUUUUAGAGUUAAAAAUAUUUUAUA
rnacentral:tRNA from 1 species